GUGAGUCAUCGAAUCUUUGAACGCACCUUGCGCCCUCUGGCUAUUCCAGAGGGCAUGCCUGUUUGAGUAUCAUGAACACCUCAACUCUCAUGGUUUUGCCGUGAUGAGCUUGGACUUUGGGGGUCUUGCUGGCCUGUGGUCAGCUCCUCUCAAACGAAUCAGCUUGCCAGUGUCUGGUGGCAUCACAGGUGUGAUAACUAUCUACGCUUGUGGUUUUCCACCAGGUAACCUUCAGUGAUGGAGGUUCGCUGGAGCUCAUAAAUGUCCCUCCUCAGCGAGGACAGCUUCUUGAAUGUUUGAUCUCAAAUCAGGUAGGGCUACCCGCUGAACUUAAGCAUAUC
rnacentral:rRNA from 1 species